UGGCGGGCGGGGAGCUCGAGCAAGCGAGGGCGGGCAGUAGUGGGAGGGCAGGGAGCGAUGCCUCCUUUAGUAAUUCUUGUAGCUUUGGUUUGGUUUUCGUAAAUUCUCUAAGCUUGUGUUUAUCUGUAAAUAUUUUAAUUUCACCUUCAUAUUUGAGAGAAAGUUUUGCUGGAUAUAUGAUUCUUGGCUGGCAGUUUUUCUCCUUUAGUGCUCUGUAUAUGUCAUCCCAUUGCCUUCUUGCCUGCAUGGUUUCUGCUGAGUAGUCUGAACUUCUUGAUUCUCCUUGGUAGGUGACUUUUCUUUUAUCCCUGUCUGCUUUUAAAAUUUUCUCUUUAUUUUUGGUUUUGGCAAGUCCGAUGAUAAUAUGCCUUGGUGAUUUUCUUUUUGGAUCAACUUUGUAUGGGGUUCGAUGAGCAUCUUGGAUAGAUAUCCUUUUGUCUUUCACGAUGCCAGGGAAGUUUUCUGCCAACAGAUCUUCAACUAUUCUUUCUGUAUUUUCUGUUAUCCCUCCCUGUUGUGGAACUCCAGUCACAUUUAAGUUACUCUUCUUGAUAGAGUCCCACAUGAUUCUUAGGGUUUCUUCAUUUUUUUCAUUUCUUUCAUGUGAUUUUCUUCAACUAUAUUGGUGUCAAUUGCCUUAUCUUCCAUCUCCCCCACUCUGCAUUCCGAUUCCUCGCUUCUGCUUCUCUGACUUCCUAUUGAGUUGUCUAAUUCUGUAAUUUUACUGUUAAUCUUUUGGACUUCUGAUGCUGUAUCUCUAUGGAUUCUUGUAGCUUAUUAGCUUUUCCACUAUGUUCUUGAAUAAUCGUUUUGAUUUCUUCAACUGCUUUAUCAAUGUGUUCCUUGGCUUUUUCUAUUAAAAAAAAAUUUGUUUUUUUUUCCUAUAGAUUGCCUUAUUUCAUUUCCGAGGUCAUCUCUGAUGUCUUGAAGCAUUCUGUAUAUUAGUUUUUUAUAUUCUGCAUCUGGCAAUUCCAGGAUUGUAUCUUCAUUUGGGGAAGAUUUUGAUUCUUUAAUUUGGGGAUUUGUAGAAGCAAUCAUCGUCUGCUUCUUUAUGUGAUUUGAUAUCGACUGCUGUCUCCAAGCCAUCUAGAAGAUAUUGUAACGAUUUAUUUUAUAUUUGCUCACUGAGUCUUAUUUUCUUGUUUUGUUUUGUUUCAAUAUACCCAGAUUGCGCUGUCUUGAUCAUUGUAGCCUUUGAAUCAUUUCUGUCCUAUUACCAGCUGGUUUGAGCUGUUACCAGAUAUAUAAGCCUAAGAGUCCAUUCACUAUUCUUGAAUAGAAUCAGCUUAAGUGUUCUCAUUUUGGGUCACCAAGUAUGUGGUGUAGACUGUCAUCUAUUAACUUAGAGAAGUAGUGGUGAUAGUUGUGUGCACCAGAUUCUCGUAGCGGCAGGGGGCACACUCCAAGGAGGGCAGGAUGCUGAUAGCAUUCCCCCAUGUGCCAGUGAGGUAGGAGUGUCUCCAUUCCUAGAGCAUUUUUGUGGGUGGGCUCUGCAGCUGUACCUUAGGUACCCAAUGCUUGUAACUCUAAGGAUUGGUAGGCGUCACUAUUCUCACACCCCUUUAGCAGGUGGCUAGGUGGUUUGGGUGGAGCUUCAGCCCUCAGUUCCCCUGUGUGGGUCAGUGAGGGCUCUGUUUAAUAGGUAGAGAGGCAUCAGACCUUGAAAAUUUGUCUUUCCACUUCUCUGCUGCAACAAUUACAGUCAGCUCUCUAUCAGAAUUGCCUUUGCAUUAUAAUAGCCACCUUGUUCCCUGUAGAGAUGAAAGCCAAGGACUGUGGAUCUCAUAUUCUUGGCUGGACCUGGUUCUGUAUUUUUAUUCCAGUUUAGGGAAAUCAGGGAAGAAUUUUUUCCCCCUGGUUGUUAGUUGCUGCUUCUCUCAGGCCAGGAGAAAGGGUUAGGGAAAAGAAAAAAAAAACCCUCAGAGCACUUCACUCUCUGGCCCAGGAAAUGCCAAUGUUAAUGAAGCCAGCUGGGGCAGGGAGGGGAGGGAUCAGAUAGAUAGGAGAGAGUAGCCAUGGGAAAUAUAGACAAAGUUACUUAUCUUGCUUGGUGAUGACUGUUUUAUCUGAGAUUCCAGAGGGGCCUGUAGCGUGUGUGCGCUGGCUGGGUCGAGUUUGCCCCCGACGGUCAGACCUGUGUCCCGUGCUUGCACCAUCUCAGGAAGCUGUGCUCAGCUCCUCUGCGCUUAGUCCAAAGCCCAGCGUCAAGGUUUUCUGACUGGGACAGUGGCUCCAGGCUCCGAAAACAAUCGCUGCUUCUCCGUGGUUGCUAGUUCUCUUGUCAGCAGCGUCCGUGUGCAGCCUGCGCUGGCUGAGCCUCUACCAAGGUUACUCCAGAGGUUUAGGGGUUAGGGCUGUGUCCCAUGCUUGCCCCAUCUCAGUAAGCUGCAAUCAUCCCCACCACUCUGGUACCAGGGAACCAUGAGGGCUCAAGGCUAUGGUGCAGGAUGCCGGUUCCAGAAACGGCCGCUGCUUCAGGGCACAGUUUUCGCUUCCCUGUCACACAGGUCAACUCUUUAGUUCUGUGUUUGAUGGUCCGGCUUUGUACAUUGUCAUGUAUAUGAUCAAUUCACUUGUUUUUCCAAGUCUUUGUUGCAAGAGGGAUGCACGGUAGUUCUACCAAGUCAGCCAUCUUGGCCCCGCCUCCUCCUUUUCUAAUAUUUUUUAUUUGCUUUCUUCUGGUGGCUGAGGAUUUCUUUUGUUGCUCUCUUUCUAUUUGUUCAAGUUGUAGGGAUAAUUCUUUGAUUUUGGCCCUUUCUUCUUUUUGGAUAUGUGCAUUUAUUGAUAUGAAUAAAUGAGCACUGCUUUCGCUGUGUCCCAAAGAUUCUGAUAAGAAGUGUUUUCAUUCUCAUUGUAUUCUAUGAAUUUCUUUAUUCCAUCCUUAAUGUCUUGUAUAACCCAGUCCUUUUUGAGCAGAGUAUUGUUCAGUUUCCAAGUGUUUGAUUUCUUUUCCCUGCUUUUUCUGUUAUCGAUUUCUAUUUUUAUGGCCUUAUGGUUAGAGAAGAUGCUUUGUAAUAUGUCAAUGUUUUGGAUUCUUCUAAGGCUUGCUUUAUGACCUAAUAUGUGGUCUAUUCUAGAGAACGUUCCAUGUGCACUAGAAAUAAAGUAUAAAUGGCUGGUAUUGGGUGGCAUUUUGAUCUUCCAUGUCUUUAUUAAGCUUCUUUCUGGAUGUCCUGUCCUUCACCGAAACUGGUGUGUAGAAGUCUCCGACUAUUACUGUGGAGCUGUCUGUCUCACAGUUCAAUGCUGUUGGAAUUUGUUUUAUGUAUCUUGCAGCCCUCUCUUUGAGUGCAUAAAUAUUUAAUAUGGUUAUAUCUUCUUUGUAUAUUGUCCCUUUAAUGAUUAUAUAGUGUCCUUCUCUUUCUUUGAUGAUGGAUUUAACUUUAUAGUCUCUUUCGUCAGAAAUUAAUAUUGCCACUCUCGCUCUUCUUUGACUGUUGUUUGCUUGAUAUAUUUUUUUCUAUACUUUGCGUUUUAGUUUGUGUCUCUAAGUCUAAGGUGUGUCUCUUGUAGGCAGCAUAUAGACGGAUCAUGUUUUUUAAUCCAUUCUGCCGCUCUUUAUUGGUGCAUUUAGCCCAUUUACAUUCAGCGUAAUUAUGGAUAGGUAAGAAUUUAGUGGUAUCGUUUUGAUGUGUUUUUUUGUGUAUUGUUGACAGUUUGUUUUUCCCACUUAAUUUUAUGUGCUGAGUAGAUUAUCUUUAUAUAUUCUCCUUUCCUCAUAUUUGUUGUUGUUCAUUUUGUUUCUGCUGGGUCUCUAUUUUUUCUUGCAUUUUAUUUUGAUGUGUAGGAUAAUUUGUCUACUUUGUGCUCACGUUACUAUUUACUCCUAUUUUUCUAAAUGUUAAAAAAAAAUGUUAACUUACCUUUUAUUUCUUGUAUCACCUUGUCUUCCAUUCCAUAUGGAAGAUAUAUGACUACAUUUCUUUGUCCCUCUUUAGUGUUUUAAUGUAUUCUUCUUUUACAUAAUAUCAUUGGUGUUGCCCUGUUUUGAGUGUUUUUAUAAUCUUGAUUUAUUUUUGUGGUUCCCCUGUCUGGGUUGACUUCUGAUUGUUCUGCCCAGUGUUCUAGUCUUGGGUUGAUACCUGAUAUUAUUCCUUUUCUUAUCAAAGAACUCCCUGUAGUAUUUCUUGUAGUUUUGAUUGGGUUUUUAUGAAAUCCCAAAACUUCUGUUUAUCUGGAACUGUCCUAGUUUCACCUUCAUGUUUGAGAGACAGUUUGGUGGAUAUAUGAUUAUUGGCUGGCAAUUUUUUUCCUUCAUUUUUUUAUAUAAGUCAUCCCACUGCCUUCUUGCCUGCAUGGUUUCUGCCGAGUAGUCAGAGUUUAUUCCUAUUGGCUCUCCUUUGUAGGUGACUUUGCGUUUAUCCCUAGCUGCUCUUAAAAUUCUCUCUUUGUCUUUGGUUUUUGCAAGUUACAUUAUACAAUGUCUUGGUGACUUUUCUUUUAAAGUCUACCUUAUGUGGAGUUCAAUGAGCAUCUUGGAUAGAUACCUUCUUAUCUUUCAUGCUAUCAGGGAAGUUUUCUGCCCACAAGUCUUCAACAAUUCUUUCUGUAUUUUCUGUUAGCCCUCCCUGUCCUGGCACUCCAAUCACUUCUAGGUUAUCGCUCUUGAUAGGGUCCCACAUGAUUCUUAAAGUUUCUUCAUUUUUUUAAAAAUUCUUUUAUCUGAUUUUUCUUCAGAUAUGUUGGUGCCAAGUGCUUUAUCUUCAAGAUCAGAAAUUCUGCCUUCCGCUUGCUCAAUUCUGCUCCUCUGACUUUGUAUUGAGUUGUCUACUUGUGUAAUUUUAUUGUUAAUCUUCUGAAUUUCUGAUUGCUGUCUGUCUAUGUAUUUUUCCAGCUUAUUAAAUUUUUCAUUAUGUUCCUGAAUCAUCUUUUUAAUUUCUUUAACUGCUUCCUCUGUGUGUCCCUUGGCUUGUUCUGCAUACUGCCUGGUUUCCUUCCUGAUGUCUUGUAGGGUUCUGUAUAUUAAUCUUUUGCAUUCUGCCUCUGUUAAUUCCAGGAAGGCACUUUCUUCUAAAAGAUCCCUUGAUUCUUUGUUUUGAGAGCCUUUUGAGGUGACCAUGGUCUGUUUCUUUAUGUGACUUGAUAUUGACUGUUGUCUCUGAGCCAUCUGUAAGUUAUUGUAUUAGUUUAUUUUAUGUUUGUCUAUUGUGUCAUUGCGUCUUGCUUUGUUUUGUUUUGAUAUGCCCAAAUGGGUUGCUUGAGCGAGCUAGCUUGACUGUUUUUGUCUUUGGAACUCUGAUGUCCUGUCCCCAGAUGGCUAGAGCUGUUAUCAGGUAUAUCAGUCUAGGAGUCCAUUCACUUUUAUUGUAUGAAUGCAACUCAGGUGUCCAGGUAGAUGAUCAUCAAGUGCGUGGUACAGACACAGUUCUACAGUCUUUGAGGGGCAGGGGUGAUGGGUGUCGGCAUCGGUAUCUGGUUACAGCAGGAGUUCAUGCUCUGAACAAAGCAGAUGCCUGAGAAUUAUCCCCCAAGUGUGUCUGAGGAAAGCGUGUCCCUGUUCCCUAUAGCAUACAGGUAGGUGAGUUCUGCAGAUGGACAAUGGGCACCCAAUGUUUUUGGUUGUAAUAACUGAGAGGUACGAGUUAUCCUUGGACCCUUGUCGUGGGUGGCUGGGUGACGUGAGUGGAGCCACCAGUCCUUAGGCCCCUGAUGUGGGUAGGUGAGGACCUUGUUUGAUAGGCAAAGCAAUGUCAAACAUCAAUUACCGCCCCCCACCACUGCACAGCUGAAAUCGUUGUAGUCUGCCAAGAAGAGCCUAUUCUCCUGAAAUAGGCCCAUAUAGGUCCAUUCACAGGGGAAAGGUACUCAAAGUCCAUUGACUGUUUAUGCCUAGAAAGGAGCCGCUUCUGUCCUGAGUUAACCCGGUUAGUGGAGCUGGUAAAUUAUCUUUCCCCCAGUUGCAAAUUUAUUCCUUUUCCAAGGCCAGGAAAUUGACUCUAGGUGCUGAACAGGGCUUAUCUCAGGCCCAGGGAAAUCAGCCACUGAAGCCAGCUUGGUGGGUGUGGAUGGUAAAACAUAUGCAAGUACUUUGCUUUUGCUGAGAGUGCUGUUCUCUGGUUCUGGAGGUGUGUGUAGGCCGUGUGGCUGGCUGCUUCUCCAUGGGGAAAUUGCAGCUGAAAGCUUGUACCAGCCCAUGGCAGCCACUCCCAGGAAUGGUGCCUGAGGGCUCCUGGUAAUUCAGGUUUGGUAACUCCUGUGUGCUUCUGAACCGUCUCUUCCUCCACCUACCCCUCAGUUCAUUUUCUAACCUUGACUUUGAUGUUCGGGCUGCUAGCUUGUCAUAAAUAUACUCAUUUCACUUUUUCGGGGGGAUCUUUGUUGUAAGAGGGUUCGCCAGAACUGCCACAACCAUCUGUCUAUUCUACCAUCUUGACCUUGCCCCCCAAGUUUCUUUUUUGUGUCUUUCAUUUCCUACAUUCUCUUUGGCUGUAGAUAAGUAGAGACCAAUAGUUGUAUCUUAGAAAGCCAUUAUCAAGUUUUUAAAACCCCAGACACUACUCAGCAAACUCGGACGUGAAGUAUAACUUUAGGAACUCUAUUACGCCCGUGUACCCAGAUGUUCUACUAAACUCUCGUCCUAAUACUUCAAAUCCGGAAAACCAAUCCCAUGAGAUGUUUGGUUAUGUAUAAGAAAUGUUCAUAAGGCUGCCCUGUAUAUGAUUUAUUAUAUAUAUAUGACUGUGUGUGCAUACAUUCCCGUAGAUGUAUAUGCAUAAACAUAUUCAUGUAUAUAUACACUUAUGUGUACUUAUACAUAUAAAUGCCUACCUGAAUACAUAUAUAAUAUCUGUUAUAUAAACCCAGUGCCGUCAAGUCGAUUCCGACUCAUAGCAACCCUAUAGGACAGAGCAGAACUGCCCAAUUAAUACCAACAUGCAUAUCAAUACCAACAUGAGAUACCAUUUCACUCCCACUGUGAUGGCUACAAGAAAAAAGUCAAAAACAAAAAACCGGGAAAAUAACAAGUGUUGGAGAGGAUUUGCAAAAAUUGGAACCCUCACCCGCUGCUGGUGAAAAUUCAAAAUGAUAUAGCCAUUUUCAAAACAGUCUGGUGGUUCCUCAAAAAACUGCUGGCAGAGCUGCCAUAUAACCCAGAAAUUCUAUUCCAGGUAUUUGCCAUAUGGAUCUGAUAGAAGUGACGGGAACAGACAUAUGCACACCUAUUUUCACCGCAGCAUUAUUCACAAUAGCAAAAAGAUGGAAACAACUUAACUGCCCAUCAAUGGAUGAAUGGAUAAGUAAAAUGUGGUACAUACAUACAAUGAAAUACUCGUCAGCAAUACAGAAAUAUGAGUUCCCUAAACUCCUUGGAACAUGGAAGAACCUGGAGGACAUUAUCUUGAGCGAAAUAAGUCUGUCACAAUAAAAGAAAUAUUCUAUGUUAUCACAUUUAUGAAAUGGUAUGAACUAAUAAAAAUAUGGAGAAAAUAAUGUGUUUACCAGAGUUGGGGUGGAGUGAAACAGAAAUUCACUCUCUAGAAAUUACACACCGGUUACUCUUGGUGAUGGGAAAGGUAACACCAAAUGAGAGUGAAGUGCACACAGCUUGACAGUGGCAAACCAUGUGAGUAAAAUGUACACAAGGAAAAAGAAUUUGUUGGUAAUAGCAUGUAACGUAUAAUUUUAAAACACAAGCAAAAACGACCAAAAAUAUAUAUGCGGGUAUAUAUAUAUAUAUAUAUAUAUAAAAUAGAUUGGAAACCCUGGUGGUGUAGUGGUUAAGUGCAAUGGGUGCUAACCAAAGGGUCGCCUAAUAACGUUGAGCAUCUCUUCACGUGUCUGUUGGCCAUGUGAAUAUUCUCAUUGGUAAAAUAUCUGUUCAUGUUCUUUGCCACUUCUUAAUAUGAUUGUCUUUUGGUUAUGAAGUUGUAGAAGUUUUAUAUAUUUUAGAUAUUAGACUCUAAUCACUUAUAUAAUUGCCAAAGAAUUUUUCCCAGUCCGUAGGCUGUGUCUUCCCUAUUUUUACUGAGUGUUUUGAUGAGCAUAAGUAUUUAACUCUUAUGAGGUCCGAGUUAUCUAUUUUGUUUUCUGAUGCUUGUGCAUUCAUUAUUGUGUUUGAUUAUCUAUCAUUUGAAAACCAAUCAUGUCCAAAAGGUUUGCUUCUCUAUUUUUUUCAUAGAACUGCAUGAUUCUGAAUUUAAAUUUAGCUCCUUGAUCCGUAUUGAUUCAGUUUUUGUGUAUGGUGUGGGGUAUGGAUCUUGUUUCAUUUUUCUGUUUGUGGAAAUCCAGUUUAGCCUGCACCAUUUAUUGAAGAGACUAUUCUUUAGCCAAUGAAUAGAUUUGGCUCCCUUAUUGAAAACCAAUUGACCAUAGAUGUUUGGAUUUAUUGCUGGAUUUUCAAUUCUGUUCCAUUGGCCUGUGUGUCUAUGUUUAAACAAGUACUAGGCUGUUUUGAUUUACUGUAGCUGUGUAAUCUGUUUUGAAGUAUGAGGCCUGCUAAUUUGUUAUUUUUCAAAUUGCUUUGACUAUUUCAGUUCUCUCAUCUUCCCAUAGAAAAAGGAGGAUUCUUUUUCCAUUUUUGUAAUGAAUACUAUAGGAAUUUUGAUUAGGAUUGUGUUCUAUCUGUAGGUCACUUUGUGUAUUAUUGACAUCUUGACUAUAUUAAGUCUUCCAAUCCAAGAGCACAGAAUUUCUUUCCAUCUAUUUAGGUCUUCUUUAAGAUCUUUCAGCAGUGUUUUAUACUUUUCCUUGUAUAAGGCUUUUGUAUCAAUGGGUACAUUUAUUCCUAUAUGUUUUAUUUUCUUAAACGGUAUUGUAAAACAACUUGUUUUCCUUCCAUAAAUAUUUAUUUUGGAAUAAAAAUUUCAUAAAUUUUUAUUCGAUUUCAUAAAUUCUAAGGGUGCAGCUUAAGCCAUUCCACCUGGGUGGAGCAAGAACCUAGGAAAAGCAAGAAGCUCCUUUCUGUGACCUGGUUCUCAACUGUCCUGUUCAAGGGAACAAGUAAAUUUCAGACAAAACAUUGGUACCUCAACAUUUCUUGUGAAAUGUCUAUAUAUUAAAUAAAUGCAUCAAGAAAAACUGUAUGACAGUAAAUAUAGUAGGGAAAACUUUUGGAACGGCAUCAGGAGAAAGUAUGUCUUCCAGCAUUUCCACAUCUAAAUUUCUUUGGUUGUGCAGUUCUGUAACGGAACUUUCAAAGUGAAUAGGAAAAAGAAACAGUAUUUUUUGAAAGCCUAUUCAGAAGAAGAAAUGAAUGUGGUCCAAAGGUUAUCUAAAUGUGGAAGAGCACUCUUCUCAGUUCCAGGAUACUGUAUUUUAAGUGGAGCCCUGGUUUCAAAGUGAUUAAGAGCCCCGCUGCUAACCGAAAGGUGGCAGUUUAAAUCCACCAACCACUCCUUGGAAACCCUAUGGGUAUGUUCUACUCUGACUGAUAGGGUCGCUGUGAGUCAGAAUCCACUCGAUAUCAAAGGGUAAGCUUAGGGAAGGAGCCCUGACCGUGCGAGGUUAAGCGCUGGGUUGCUAAGCAAAUACCCAGCAAAUAAGGCUCUGGCUGCAGAGGAGAAACAGCAGGGAAUCUGCCCCCAUAAAGAUUAUAGCCUAGGAACCACUAUGGGGCAGUUCUACUGUAUCAUAUAGGGUCUCCAUGAGGGGACAUUGACUCCAUGGCACAAAAAGAAUAACCACAAUUUUUAGAAAUCAUGAGUGGUGGCUUCAGACACGCUCUUGUGGCAGAAGGGUUGAUGUGGAGGUUCUGGGUGAGGAAGUGUCACCUGCUUUCCCAGAAGCCUCAGAAUUCACCCCAGAUGCUUUGUUUUCUUCUCCUGCAGUGCUCUUCAUAAACCCAUUACAGUAGAGUCGAUUCUGACCCCUAAUGAUCCUGUAGGACACAGUAGAACUGGCCCAUAGGACUUGCAAGGAGCGCAUGGUAGAUUCGAACAACUGGCCUUUUGGUUAGCAGGCAGCAGCUCUUAACCACUCUGCAACGAUGGCCCAGGGGACCCCAUUCCCGCCCUGCUUUAGGAGCUCACACAUGUGUACAGCCUCCUGGAACAGGGCCCUGGGACGCACGAACCGCCGCCCUCUAAGGGCUUCAGGCUUUAGUGGCGGAAGGUCCCCUUCAGGGAGGCGCGCAGCAGGAGCAGGGAAGGCAGGGCCCCUAAGGGUAGGUCUCGCAGCUGGGCUGGGCUCGGCUGUGCCAGGGUGAGGCCUCACACCCUGUGCACAGAGCGCACCGCUUUUCUGCUUUCUCAUAGUUCAGUUCCAUUACUAAGGAAGGUAAUGGACACACAAACUCACCCUUAGUAAUGUUGCUGCUAUACUUUCCCCUCCUAUAUGGUCUUGGGUUAUUUGCAGGCGUUGGUUUUGUAUUGGGAGAUCCCCUUUCAUGGUGUAGAAUUCAGUGCCCUCGGGUGGAUAGCAGCUUGUCCUGUGCUGGCAGUAUUUAUACCACGGGAAAUGGCAAAGGCUGCAUCUCAGGACUGCAGUGAUUGUUUUCCUAAUUGGUGGACAGAAAAUGAGGGGGGAAAUUUCAAUAAUGCCUCUUUAAACUGACAAGUGUGUCAAGUCAUUAUCUGUUGCGUUCUGAAGAAUACCUAAUUUUGAACAAUCUUUAAGGAGUUGAAAAGCACUCUCUGUUUAAGCACAGAAAGAGCUCGUGUCAAGGAAAAUUCAGUCAAGUUCCAGUGUAUGACCUCGUUUCUCUUAGGUUUUCCUUGUUAACAUAAGAAACAUAUGAACCAACAUUCAUGUUCAAAUGACACUGAUUUCCUCAGGAAGUGAGUGAUUUUGCUGAAUUGACUAAAAAUCAAGCAUUUGUUUGCAGUGUCCUGCAUGGAAUCAGGAUUGACUUGCAAGCAUGGUGGGUUAAGGAUGCAGCAGGUUUGCCAAGAUCUACAAAAGCCUCCUGCUGAUGAUGUGUGUAUAAAAGAUUUCCAGCCACGAGUACUGCAAGUUCGACUGAAAUCAGUAAAUUGUGUGCCACUCCUCCAUGGGUAUCUGGGACAUUUUGUUUUUCUUAUAAUUCUGCAGAAGGGUGGUGUGGGUGUGUAAUCCUUUGCCAGCACACAACUGUGUGUGCAUUUGAGGCUGUAAGUUACUGUAUUUGUGUUUCCAUCCUGGAGGAGUGGAGUGAGUGUCAGUGGGUGCAUUUGGAAUGUGAGGCACGUGUGUAUAUUAAGAGGCUGUCGGGGGUCAGUGUUUGUACUUGAGGAGAUGAGAGAGUUUUGUGCUUGCUUUUUGCGGGUGGAUACUUGUGGGGUGUUGUGUAUAUCUUGAAAUAGGACAGAGAUGUAGUUGUGAGCUUUGUAGGGAUUGUGAGAAUUGAGGGGUGUGGGUACUUUAGUGCCUGUUAUUUGGGACUCUGUUGGCCAUGUGUUUCUGUGAAUUCACAGUUUGGGGCUUGUGUAUGUGUGAAUGGGUUCUUAGGAAAGUGAUAUUUGUAUGUGUGGGUUGGCGGUGUCUGUUUGAAUAUUUGUGGUUCAGUUUUUUUUUUUAUGAGUGUGUUUUGUGGAAAUGUGCAGGGCAUGAGAUACAGGCGUGUGCACUCAGAGACUUGGAGGUGAGCUCUUUACAAUUUGUGGCUCAAGGGAAUACUUAGGGUGUGGCCCCCCUGCUGUGAACUUUGGGUCAUCCUGUGUACCUAAUAGCAGGUUUGAAAUGGGUUUCUCUACUGUACAUUUGGGCAUCUGAGGGAGUGUGCCUGUGUGUAUUAGUUUGGGUGUAGGGCCUGUUCUUUUUGUAUAUUUGGGGACUGAGAGAGGAUCGCUGGUGUGUAGUCAGGGCAUGUUGUACAGUUGUGUUGCUUUGGGUGCUUUUCUGGUGUUGCACAUGCAUUCUUGCAUGUUCGGUCUGGGGUUUGUGUGAUUCUGUACACUAGAAAAAUUGGAAUUGAUUUCUGUUUGAGUAUUUUGGAUUGUUCGAGUGUAUGUAGGCAGGCAUCGUGAGGUUUUAUUAGUAUUGGAAGAUCCAGGGUCGUUGUUGCAUACUUUCAGUACCCUGGAUAAUUUAGGUUAGAUUUAGGGUGUGAGGCCAGUUGUAUGGGUAAAGAACUUGUGUGUUUCAUGAAGGGGCUUGGCUGUUUGGAUGAAUAUUUUCCAGGGCUGUGUGUAAUCUUUUUCAGUGGAGAGUAUGGUGUAUUCUGGAAAAUGAGGACAGUGUGUCUGAUGAAAAUAUGGGGCAGUGUGUUUGCACAGGGUGUGGAAGACUUGUGUUUACAUGUAGUAGAGGCAUGUUGAUAUGGUUAUGUAUGAGAUAUUGAGAAUGUGGCAGCUUUGGAACGUGAGAUACGGACCUGGAACGGGGUUCCAGUGUAUUUGUUCAGGAUGUGCAAGAGAUAUUUCGUUGUGAAUGGGGAGUAUAUAUUGGUGUGUGUAAGUCACGAGUGGGUGGGUGAAUUAUUCUUGGAGAAUUCUACAAGUGUUUCUUUGGAGAAUGUUAGGGUGUUUCUAGGUGUGUUUGGGCAUGUUCGGAGGUUGGGGAAGUGAGGCUGUAUUCUAGAGACGUGUGAUAAUCUAUAGUGUUUUGGGUGAUAUAUACUUUGAGAAAUUGAGGCUAUUUGUGUGUGUGCAUGUGUCUGCGUGUGUUGUGUCUGGCAUGUGUGAGCCCGUGGCCACUUAGGGGUGUGGGCUGUGUGUGUAUAUUAGCUAGAGUGCAAGGAUUGUUGGUGUUUUGGAGUUUUAUCUGCAUCCUUGAAUGUGUGGGGUGUAUGAACAUGGUUGGGUUUUGGGUGAGUGUGUGGGGGAUUUGUGUCUGUAUGAAAGCAGUUGACGUUCCUCUUUGUGCCUAUUCUGGUCUAAUUCUUGCGGAAUUUGGUGGUGUAGCUUGUGUAUGUAUUUUCAGUGUACCUGUGGUGUACUUACAUAUGUUAAUGCUAAAGGUCGUAUGCAGUUGUGAGUUUAUUUGGUGUCACUAGUUUUCGGGGCUGUUUAUUCUGGAGGAUGUGGGAGGUUCAGGAUGUACCUUUGGAAACUGAGAGAGUUUAUAUAAAUUGUGCCUGCAUUUUGGAAUUGUGUAUUAUUAGUGUUUAGAGAUGUGGGCUUUGGUGUGUGUCUGUAUUAGCGUGGCCUGUGAAGUGAGAUUUUGUGCUCGGUGGUGUUAGAGAGCUAGGCUGUGUGUACAAUGUUCAGUGAGUAUAUAGGUACUGUUUGUUGUACAUGGGUGUGUUCAGGCACGUGUGGAGAGUAUAUACAUCAUCGUAGUGAUGACUGUGUGUGUUCAUGGUUCGUAGGGUUUUUGUUGUAAAACUAUAAGCAGCAAGAUGUGGUAUGUUUGUAUAUUUAGGCUGUGGGUCGUAGUUGUGUGUGUUUAGGAGUUUCGAGCUGUGUGUUCUGGAGAUAUAUAGUGACGUUUGGUUUACAUAUUAUGGGUGGGAGUUAAAGGUCCCUCUCAUGGUGCAGGUGGAUUAUGUAUACAUACUAAUAGGAAAGUGGAUCAGGUAUGCUGUCAUCGGCUCCUAUUAACUUGGAAUAGUAGAUGGUGCUUAUCUCCACUCACUGGGGGUCAGUGAGAUCAGGCUGGUACCUUGAAAUUAAUCGUGGCAGGAUUAAUUCUAUCAGGUAAGUUGUCAGUCUUUACCAAGCAGACUUGCAGCACUCGCAAUGGAGAGUGAAUGGAUAAAUAUUUACCAACACAUCAUUGGUCAGUGUGUGUGUGUGUACGCACGCGCACGUGUGUGUCUGUCUGUCUGUCUGUGUAUCUACCUGUGUAUUGUUAGAAUGUGUUAAGGAAGAACAUAUAGACAUCGUUGGGGGACUCUACUGCUGAUUGUGAGUGGACCAUUUGGGGGACUUAGGCCCUUUUAUAUGUCCCUGGGAAAGAGGCGUGGUAAUAUUGUAUCCUUUCAUCUCAUUUUUCAAUCUCUAUGCCUAACAAAUAACCUGAGAAGCCAGAAUAUAUGAAGAAGAAUGGGGCAUCAGCAUUGGAGGAAUGUCACUGACAACCUGGGAUACGCAGAUGACACUUGCAUGCUGACAAUGAAGAAAGCUUGAAGAACUACCUGAUGAAGGUCAGAGACCACAGCCUUCAGUGUGGAUUACACUUGAACAUAAUGGAAAUGAAAAUCUUCACACUGGAAAAACAAAGUAAAUAGAGGCUUAUUUGAAGUUGUCAAGGAUUUCAUGCCCCUUGAAUCAACAGUCAACAACCAUGAAAACGGUAGUCAGGACAUCAAAGGACUUUUGCCUUAAGCAAAUCUGCUGCAAAAGAUGUCCUUACAGUUCUAAAAGUGCAAGAUGUCACUUUGAUAAGAAAGGUGCACCUGACCAAGCUAGGCUCGCCAGUCCCACCAAAAGUCUGCCCCUCAGAGCUUCGGAGCCUUUCUAGAGUCAAACAGCACCAGUAACUCAGGAGGUAGGGAAAACUCAGUGUUAGCACCUGGGCCUGGGAAAAGAGGACUGCAAGAACCCUGAGAUGACAGGACCUCAGUUAGCUGAAAAACAGCCAGAUACAGACUUGCACAGCCAGAAUCCCUCCAGCUUUGGUUGUGGGUAGGGUGAACCUUCUGAUGUGCCCCUGUGCUGAGAAGCGUGAGAUGCAGGUGAAGGUCUCAGUCACACCUGUGCAGGUAUGUGUGGCCUGGUCUAGCUUUGUUGGCUCAGAGGAGCUGACAGGUAAGGGAGAUGAGGAACUGGUCUGUUUUCCUUGAACAAUCUGGAGGAAGAUGACAGUUCCAUUCUUAUAGUAGGGCUUCCCAGCCUCACGCCUUGUUUCUUCUGUCACAGGUGGCCUCAGGAUCUGAAAUAUAGAAUGGAAUGAUUUCCUCUGGUGUGUCUGAUCAGUUGAUUGGGAUCCCCAGCUUCCCAGGCAGGCGUGUACCAGUUCAGUGGGAGUGGCAGAAGCAACGCAGUGGUUUGGGUCAGCUUCAAACACACCAGAGGAUGUCAAAUGACCAUGGUGGACCCGAGGUGACUGCACACACGCCUCCUACCUCACUUGGACCACCCAAGGACUUCUUCACCUUAAGGUAUAUGUCAUGGGAUGAAGAGAGAGUUUACCCUGAAGAAGAAAAGUGAAGCUUGCUGGACUGUGCCCUGGCUGCCAUCAAGAGCAUAAGCAGGUUCAAGGAGGCAGAGUCCUGAGCGUCAUAGUUUUGGGAGACGGGCAGGAAUCUUACUUGUGGAUGUCUCCAUUCAGAUCCCAGUUAGGAACUUCCCAACAAAUGCAGCAGCUCACAGGCACCAAAUGCCAAAACACUGAAACACCCACUGCUCUGAACAUGGGGUCUAUGCAAGUGCCCGAAGAAUCAGACUACUAAUGCCUCAGUGCUUCUUAGCCCUGUGUACCAACCCUGCCCACAUCUAGCCCUGCAUACUCCAGGCAUCCAGGUCUGCCAUAAACAUCAUCAAGUCUCCGCUUUUCCUGGGCUGUAUUGUUGUUCUGUAAGCACCACAGUCCAUCCAGCAGGAGAGGAGGAACAGAAGAAAGAGUCAAUGAGAAUUUCUGCCAACAAAACUAUCUUUAAUCUCAAUUUACAGAGCACUAUUCUUCAAAGUAAAAGUAAAGCUACUGUGCUUCAUCUCCCACCAUGGAAAUACAUGUGCACCCUGCCCAGGCUUUGGCCUCCCUCUCUGCCCUCACCGUAUCUGUAUAACAGCCAAGAAGUACCACUAGGAUAGGGGAGGAGCAUUAGCCUAAUAAGUAUGGGGGAGGAGUUGACAACCCUAAUCUAUUUAGGGGACCCCAACUUGAGGGUCUGACAUAUAGAAGAGGAGAGCUCACUACUGGCUAAGAAGAUGCUUCUUCCUUUUUCCAUGUGUGGAAGGGUCACACUUUCUUUUUAGAGGCAGUGAGGGUUGGACCUCUCCCACAGUCAAGGGUUGCCUCCCAGAGACUCCAAGGUCAGCCCCUGAGUAGGGCCGCUUUGCAGCAAGUGGUGGAGUUCUGACUUGAGCUGGGAUCUUACACUUGGCAGCUCUAUGUCCAGGUUAGCUAAGACUCACUGUCUCCGGAGAUCGGAGCUGGGAUGCUCCCCAGGUACCCCGAACUCCAUGGUGCAGAAUGCUGGAGGCAGGGAGAGGACUCUUGGAAAGACUCCAGGGCAGUAGGCUUUCUUGAGAUGCCAAGAGGAAGUCAAGGCUGGGGAGUUCCUCCUCUUCCUUUUCUUCUUCACUGCACCCUUCUCCUUUCCCAGGUGUUUCACUAAUACAAGAGGCUUCUAAGGACAUUAAGGUUCCUCUGUUUCCCAAUCUAGGGUAGGUGCGACUAGGGUGCCGUUGAGGAGAAGUUGAUUGUUCAGACUUAAGUUCCUGUGACAUGGGACUCCAUGUAAAGAGAGCAAGUUCUUUUGACGUAGACAGAUGACUGUACCUGCUGCCAUCUUUUGGCAGGUCAUCUGCAUCCAACUUUUUUGUGCUCGUUUUCUUGCUCAUCUGUAGUUGGCUGUUGUGGUUAUCUGUGCUCCCUGCAUUUUGACUGCUCCCAGACUCUGUACACGGUGACUCCCUGGUUGGCACACCGUAAGUUGGGGAUGCCUCCACACCCACGUUUCCUUUCAAUUCCAGCAUUCUUUUCUCUACCAGCUGCAAGGAAGGAAAAUGGAUAAUUACUAAUUCUGUACAGAUUGUGAGAACACAUGGCUGAGUGGGUGGUGGAGACCAUAGUAUUGGGGCAGGAUUUAGGGAAGUCAGUCACAUGAGCGUCCUUCAAUAACUAGUACUGCAGCUCUGCCUCUCCAUCCUCUUGUGUGGUUUUCCCAACCACAAUGCCUUACCACUCCACUCCUAUUCUUGGCCACUGCAUUAUCUCUUACCUCCUCAUUCUGUACCUGCUCCCACACCUGGAGCUGGCCUUCCGCAGAAGCCAUGACAGCCAAGGCACUGUCGGGUUAGAUGAAAUCCUGUGGGUUUCAUGUUAUGAUUCUCCCUUCCUCCUCUGGUUUACCUGAGUGAGAGUGAGUCUUUCCUCUUCCUCCAGCUCCUGCCUUAAGGACAGGGGAUCUACCUGUGAUUCUGGUGAUAGUAACAUUUCCAGGAAUUGAGGGUGAAUAACUGCUUCCACCUGUUAACGGAACGAGGAGGCCUGUGAAAAUCCUUGACAAGGAGUAACACUGAUUUAGAGGUUCUAGAAGACAAGGAAUAAUCUCCCUCUCGAAUUUGCAUCCAGUAUUGUAUUAAAAUAUCACCACCCCAACCUACACAUACGCAGACACUCAUACACACACACAUAUACACACAAGAAAAGGACACACACAUUGAUCAUGGAGGAAGGAACUGAGCUUAAUUACAAUGUCUGGGGUAAAACUCCAGAUGUUUGGUGGCUGGAACACCAAAAGUACAGAGCCCACAGACACCAAACCUCAGGUCCUGGCCCACCUUGGUGAUAAGUGCUUCCUGUGCACACAGCUUGUCAAUGUAGCUCAGGAGUCCCGGGUCUGGAUACAGCUCAUCCUCUUCCUGUUGUUGCUCAUUUUCUUCUUCUUCUUCAUAUUUUCCAUCUGGCUCCACAGUGGCUGAAUGGGCAGUUCCAAGGAGAUCUUCCAUGAUCUCAACAUACUCUUUGACGGCUUCGAGAGGAAUUUCAUGGGACCGCUUGGGCUCCCAAGGGUGCUCGGUUCUGUGUCGAUGUUGCUUAGGGGGCUGUGCCAUGGAACCUCCCUUCUUUGGAAUGAACACCGUGGGGGGGGGGGAAGAGCAUGUUUAUGUGGCAGCAAAUUCCGGCUCUUUCCACUUGUUACAUAUUGAAUUGUGUCCCCCAAAUGGUUGUCAACGUGGCUAGUCCAUGACGCCCAGUAUUUUGUGGUUGUCCACCAUUUGGGGACCUGAUGUGAUUAUCCUAUGUGUUGUAAAUCCUAACCUGCAUGAUGUUAAUGAAGCAGGAUUAUAGGCAGUUGUGUUAAUGAGGCAGGCCUCAGUCUACAGGAUUUGAUUGUAUCUUGAGUCAAUCGCUUUUGAAAUGGAAAACAGAGAAACAAACAGAGAGGAGAGGAACUUCAUACCACCAGGAAAGUAGUGCCCAGAGUGAAUCUAGUCCUCUGGACUCAAGGUCCCUGUGCUGGGGAGCUCCUAGACCUGGGGAAGAUUGAUGACAAGGACCUUCCUCCAGAACCAACAGAGAGUAAAAGCAUUCUCCAAGAGCUGGUACCCUGAAUUCAGACUACUACCCUCCUAGACUGUGAGAGAAUAAAUUUGUGUUUGGUAAGUCCAUCCACUGUGGUAUUUCUGUUCUAGCAACACAAGAUAACUAAGUCACCACCCAACCCCAUGUUGUAAAGGCAGAAUUAUGGGGACACUGUCAUCGUUCUUGGUAGGGCAGGCACACCUGAAGUCACAAACACUGUGAGAGGAGAAGAUGUAAGAGGCAGACACUCUAAGACAGUCAGCUUGUGGGGAAACUUGAAACUACUUCUUUUACAAGAAGUCUCACUGACACCCACAUUUAAAGCUGAUUAGAUAUUGGACCCCACUUUUGAUAAUCCAUGUGAGACUGUAGUUAUAAAACGGAACCACCUCACUACUAGCAUGUAAUGAAGAGUAGUGGAGAUCCCAGGCAUCUGGCAGUCUCUGCUAAUAGAAAUAGCCAUUGCCCCCUCUUGAAAGAUAAGUACCACAUGUGAAGACAAUGCCUUCUCCCAACAUAACCAGUCCCUACAUGCCUCCUUUGACCCCGGGCCCGUAGUUCCUGUUGACCUUGCUUAGCCAUACCUGGACACUGGGCAACCAUAGUGGAUGAAGGCCCCUGAGGAUCAACAUUGCGUGGAGCUGGAGGAGGCAGGCAGACAGACGCAUUCCUCUGCUGCAACAUCUGAAUCUCUAACUCCUCCUCUGCCUCAAACUCCAUGAACCUGACAAGGGUGAGGGAGGCACAGGCCGUGCUGAGGAGAAGGCAAGAUGCACCAGGAGCCCCAGGACCAGGCAACAGCCAAUUUUGGGGAAGUGGAGAAAAAUGUGCCUUUAGUGACCUGUCCAAGUGGCCAGUAAGUCCAUUUCCCAGGAGGAAAAAACAAGAUAUGGGUCCCUUACAUGUUCACCACAUCAUCCCUUCACGUUCAGCACAACUCAUCAUAACAUAGGAAGGUUGCGAAGGAAAUGAGCCAUGCCUUCUUGGAAGCUCCUCCUGAUGCAGCCAUAGUGCUCACUACUUUUCCAUACCCUUAGCACCUGAUAGCACACCACAACACUGACACUGGUUGGUUGAAUUGAAUCAGACCUACAUGACACACAGGAGGAACCACUCAUGCGCACCGUUCUCCAAGCCUCUCCUGCCCUUGCCUAAAACGCACAUGGUAGAGGUAAUAGCCUGAACCUUGAAUGGGAUGAAGUUGAUUGCAGAUAACACCAAGGACUAGUUCCUAGAGUCCGGGUCCUAGUCUCAAGCUUUGAGGCCUUGAGAUAUAAACCAGGCGGGCAAGAGGUCCAAGAGAGAUUUGGAAAAAGGUGGAAUGUGAGGUUUCCCAAAAGCCUCAGGCUCCUUUGAUGAUUUUUUUUUUAAACCGAGGGAGGAAAGGCAAUGAGGGACAGAAACACGUCCAACAGGGUGACUGAGAUGCUGCCUUCCCCUGAACUCACCUUUCCAGCCUGGGCCAUUCUUGGAUGGUUGUAGAACAGUUUUGUACCAGUUGUCAUGAGGAAGAGUGGCCCCAAAUUCCCUGUUAUCUAUAUGGACAUUGAGGCAAGCAGGAACCUGUCUGGUACGGCAUAUCCCCUCACUGCAGAGUGUCCACAGAUUGGACUGUAUCUCCAUGGGCAUCCACAGUGUUUAUCCCCAUUCUGUCUUAACACUCCAGUUUCAGGCCAUCCACAAAUCCAACAUGCAGAAGGGGUGAAUUUCUUAAGGAACGUAGAACAGAAAACUCCAAGCAGUGAAUGUGGUGGUAGAAGUUGUCUGAGGGUAGAGCGGGAUCAUCAGGGAACCAGGAGCCCUCUCCACGUGUACACCUCCUCCUCACACAGCCUCUGUGAUUUGUACCAACUCUCCCUCUUCAUUCACACCUCAUCACUCAGUCCCAACAGGGCCAGGAUGCCAUGGACUCACUUUUCUGCCAUCUCAUAGAAGAUGAUCCGGUCAAAAUUGCUUUUGCGCCGCCAUUCCUGUACAGACCACCAGAGUCCCUCCUCCAGGAUCAUGGUGGGCUUCAGUCUAGCCAAGGAUCGCAGGACUGGGCUAAAUACCCAUGCGUGUCAGUAACUUUCGGCAAAUACAUAUUCCAUCCCCAUCUUGACCCCAUCCCUACACACAUCCCCUGCCCAUCAUCACAUCUAUCUUGCUAUUUGUCCGUGACAGUCCCUCUUCCAGUGUUUUAGAUUUCAAAUGCUUUUGCCUCCAGGAUACCAUUAACUAUUUUGGAAUCCAGGGAAUCCCUAAGACUGCUGGAAAUUUGGGUUUAGUGGACUGUGUCUUUAUUCCUGGGUGAGUGCUGGGGAGUGGGGAAAGGAAGAACAUGCCUUCAGUCUUUCAGCCAAUGAGAGCAACAUGUAUGUGGAAAAACAUCCUGUGAAUAUGAUCAGAGUUCCAUAUUGAUUGACCUGUUGGGAAGCUCAGGGUUGAUAGAGAUGUAGGCUCUGCUCUGAAAAGACAAAGCUUCCCACAUGACUAAUCACUCUGCCUUUCAUUCACAGAAGCCCAUGACCCUGCACCUCAUUGCCAAUUUCCAUUCACACACACUGUAGCUAGGACAGUUUUGCUCUUGUGGGUACUUUUUAUGGACUGUACUUCAUAUAUUAGGUCAUAUCGUCUUCUUAGCUCUCCUCUUAAUGAACUGAAAUUGUCUCCUUAUUUGAUGAGAUACUCUAGGGUGAAGAUGUACAAUGCCCUGCUCAGGAUUACAAAUCUAAGGAGGACAGAGCCCAAGCCUUUCACCACUAUGCAUACUCUACCACCUCCCUGUUGUAACUGGAAUUCUCCAGAGGAAUGAGGGUGGGAGUAAACUUAAAGUGGUUGUCCUAGGCCUUGCCCGUUUCACGUCUCCUGAGGCAAUGGCCAAAAUACGCUCAGCUCCUAUGUUGGAAGGUAAAGACCAGUGGAACAAAGUUGUUUGUGAUCUGAGAUCAAAACUCACAUCAUGCCUCCUCACUUUACCACAGCGUUUAAAAAAACCAAACCCUUUGCCAUUGGGUAUAUCCCAACUCAUAGUGACACUACAGGACAGAGUAGAACUGCCCCAUAGAGUUUCCGAGGAGGGGUGGCGGAUUCAUACUGCUGACGAUGUGGUUAGCAGCCAUAGAACUUAACUACUAUGCUACCAGGGUUUCUACCGCGGUGUUUAGUCUCUUGUAAGGAAUUGUUAAGGUAACGAUUCCAAUAUAAAGAUUGACUUCACAUACAAGGUGGUCAGCAUCAAUUGAGACAAGAUACCUGAAUAUGUUGUACACAGGG